rnacentral:ncRNA from 1 species
AAAGUCCCGUACGGAGUAAGGUUUAGCCAACCGCUUCGGUCCCGAGUCAUGCACGGUUGCCUGUGAAGGCAAACGUGAAGUGUUGACAGGGGUGACCAUGGGCCAGGUAUGGAGCUGCGAAAGAAGGUGGAUCGAGGUGUUGAUGCUGUUAAGCGAAGCAGAAGACAAUAUGAAUGCGAACGUAAUUGGCGAGUGCGUGUUCGAUCUUGCGCAGUCGGAGACCC